ACGUGACUGACUCAGUCAGUAGAGCAUGGGACUCUUGAUCUCAGUGUCAUGAGUUUAAGCCCCAUGUUGGGUA
rnacentral:tRNA from 1 species